UACAGAGGUCCCAAGCGUUGUUCGGAUUCACUGGGCGUAAAGGGUGCGUAGGCGGUCGGGUAAGUCUGAUGUGAAAUCUCACAGCUUGACUGUGAAACUGCAUUGGAUACUAUCCGGCUCGAGGAAUGGAGGGGAGACUGGAAUACUUGGUGUAGCAGUGAAAUGCGUAGAUAUCAAGUGGAACACCAGUGGCGAAGGCGAGUCUCUGGACAUUUCCUGACGCUGAGGCACGAAAGCCAGGGGAGCAAACGGG
rnacentral:rRNA from 1 species